UUGCAGAUCGACAGCAAGGUCAGCUCGAUGGGGAUUAGAGUAGUUAGCAUCCUUGCCUCACUUUCAAGCAGGGAGGCGGGCGAACGGGAGAGCGACACUUGGUCAAUCUUGCCCUUAACUCUGGGACAAGCCCUGGAAACGGGGUCUAAUACCGGAUACGACCGCUGACCGUAUGGUUGGGGGUGGAAAGCUCCGGCGGUGAAGGAUGAGCCCGCGUCCUAUUAGNUUGUUGGUGGGGGGAUGGCCUACCAAGGCGACGACGGGUAGCCGGCCUGAGAGGGCGACCNCCCACACUGGGACUGANACACNGGGCUANACUUCCUACNNGCAGGCACCACUUGGGGAAUAUUGCACAGUUCCCAAAGUCUGAUGCAUUUGACCCCCCGGUGAGGGAUGACGCGCUUCGAAUUUGAUACCUCUUUCACGCCGGAAGAAUCACUAGUGACCGGUACACUGCCAGAAAAAGCACCCGGCCUAACUAGCGUUGCCAACAGUUCCGCMACCAAUAUCUCCAAGNCCGNAACAGGCAGUAUUACCAGAAAUUAAUUGGSUCCCGUAKAAAAAGCUAAC
rnacentral:rRNA from 1 species